rnacentral:rRNA from 1 species
UACGGAGGGGGCAAGCGUUACUCGGAAUUAUUGGGCGUAAAGGGCGCGUAGGCGGUCGUGUGCGUCGGAGGUGAAAUCCCAGGGCUCAACCCUGGAACUGCCUUCGAUACUGGCUAUCUCGAGUCCGGGAGAGGUGAGUGGAACUGCGAGUGUAGAGGUGAAAUUCGUAGAUAUUCGCAAGAACACCAGUGGCGAAGGCGGCUCACUGGCCCGGUACUGACGCUGAGGUGCGAAAGCGUGGGGAGCAAACAGG